rnacentral:lncRNA from 1 species
CAAGCAACGAAUAACAAUACGUCUGUUGUUAGAGGUGAGAGGAAAGUUUGUUAUUCCACGUGCCAAGAAGGCAGAGAGAACGUCUCGACCAAAUUGCAUUACAGAACAGCGGAGAUUCUGGAGAUAUGUAGUCUGGCUCUCCAUUUACUUGAAAAAGAAAAGAGUUGGAGAAUUGUGAAGUUAUUGUCUAUUGCCUGCCAGCAAGCGCACCUGCCCUGUACAGAUGGUUUGACUCCAGGAAGAACACUGACCUCAGUUGGCUUGAAAAUGCAGAAAAAAAAAGUUAAAACCACAAAGUGGCUCCCCUGGAGUGUUAUCAUACCCUUCUACUGGGGUACAGCUCUGGGCAUCCUUGCAGGGGCUCAUUGGCCUGGGAUUGGCAGCUGGGCAUGGCUGUCAUUCAUGCCGUUUGCCACAUUUUCUUCUUUUCCCUCUUUCUGGGUGCAUGGCAGGACUGCUCUAGUCAGUCUCCUCAUGGUUGGGUACAGCCAUGCUGCUGUUUCUGGAGAAUAAGUUAUGGGUUGAAAUAACGCUUCACUUCCAGGCCAGAGCUUUCAUUGCCAGAGUGGGAUUCUCUACAGUGCUUUGCCUUCUGGCCACAGUUACUGAAAUCUUUGAGAUAUUGACAGCCCCGUCAGACUGGAUUCUGUGAGGAGCAGAGUCCCUCUGACAGCCUGAAAUGAACAUGCAUCAUGAACAAGAUAGAAAUCCUUGUUUUCUUAAGCCACUGACUUUAGAGGUUGUUUGUUAUGACAGCAUAACUUAGUCUAUGCUGACCGAUACCCUGGAUGUUCUACUGUCUGCUCUUCAGGGGCUAAAUGGACAGUCUGUGUAUUUAGUUCUUCAAGAACAAGUAGAUACUCUUAUUUUUCGUGAUUCAACACUUUGUAUAGUUUGCCAAAUUAGGUUUUGAUGUUGGAGGCACUGAAAUCCAAAGUCUUAACCAGAGGAGCUGAGGUUGCUUUUUCCAGACUUUUAUUCUGAAAUGAAUUUCCUGCACCAAGGCUACAUCAUGGUGAGCGUUUCUGCCAGUAACAUGGAGACCAGGAGGCAGGCCUUCCUGAAGGAGGUGGUCUGAGGGAGACAGUUCGAGGAGUAAACGAGCAAGCCAGCAAACAACCACAAGCAUUUGCCAUCAGAAAUGGAAGGGGAGAGAGGAGGUGAUGAGGCCCCAAGGGGACACGGCCCAAAUGAUGGUGAAAUUUCCAUGAGGUCCAGG